UAAGGAAUAUUGGUCAAUGGAGGCAACUCUGAACCAGCCAUGCCGCGUGCAGGAAGACGGCCCUAUGGGUUGUAAACUGCUUUUAUCGGGGAAUAAACCUACUCACGUGUGAGUAGCUGAAUGUACUCGAGGAAUAAGGAUCGGCUAACUCCGUGCCAGCAGCCGCGGUAAUACGGAGGAUCCAAGCGUUAUCCGGAUUUAUUGGGUUUAAAGGGUGCGUAGGCGGCGUGCUAAGUCAGGGGUGAAAGACGGUGGCUCAACCAUCGCAGUGCCUUUGAUACUGGUGCGCUUGAAUAUACAUGAGGUAGGCGGAAUGAGACAAGUAGCGGUGAAAUGCAUAGAUAUGUCUCAGAACACCGAUUGCGAAGGCAGCUUACUAAGGUAUUAUUGACGCUGAGGC
rnacentral:rRNA from 1 species